rnacentral:lncRNA from 1 species
GAGAAGAAUGUAAAAAAUAGAUAUAGUAAUUUAAAACGUUACCUAAAAAUCAACAAACGAAAACAAAAUGAACAUUCUAGGUAUAAAACUAGAGUUGAUCAUAUAAAAAAAAUAAAAAAAACAAGUUUAACCGAGUCAUUUAUUGAUAUAAUUGAAGGAGCAAAUGGAAGUAACAUUUUCCGUAUGAGUAAGCUUAGCAACAAUGUGCAUACUAGUAUAAAAAAACAAACUAAUAAAAAUGCAUGUUCAAAUAAAAAAAAUCAAAAUGUGCAAAAAAACAAGCAAAAAAAUAAAAACACUUCGAAAAAAAACCAAGCUGAUUCAGAUUUGUAUAAUAAUUUCGAUUUUUCUCAUAACAGUGAUGAUAAACCAAAUUUAAAUAGCGAUACACAAAAAUAUUUAUCAAAAAAAAGAAACCCUGACAAAUGUACAAACAAUUCAAACAUUAAUUAUGCAUAUACAGACGAUAUAACGGCAUGUUCCACAGACGAUGCGUUACAUAAUGAAUCUGACAGCGUUAUAUUAGAAAAAGUUAUCAUAAAUGCCAGUUUCAGUGCCAGCUCAAGUGCAAGCUUCAGUGUCGAUAGCAACAAAAAUAACCAAAAAAUAAAAAAAAAACAACUAAAACGUGAUCAAACAACAAAUUAUUCAAAAACAAAAGGUAAUAACCAAAACUCACCAGUACAAAAUUUAGAUACUUCGAAUAAUAAAAACAUGAAUUAUGAUUUGUUUCAUUACCAAAGCCCCCCUAGCAACAUAAUUAGCAACAACAGUAAUAUUACUAGUGCCACUAAUAACAUCAGUAAUAAUAACCUGUUCGAUCAAGAUAAUAGUUACUCCAUUUUUUAUAGUAACACUAAACAUGUAAUGGACAAUAAAAAUAAUAUGAACAGUGAAAAUUGUGUUAACUUGAGUAGUUAUAUAAGCGCCAAUUCGAACAGAACAUUAUAUACUAAUGCUACUUCUAACGAUACACAAAAAAAAAACACGCGCAACAAACAUAACCAAAUAAACACAUUUCAACAACAAAAAGAAAUAAACACCCUUCAACAACAAAAAGAAAUAAACACCCUUCAACAACAAUACGAUAUAAAUCCCAACCUUAACAGUAAUUCUAAAUUGUCUUUAAAUUCUCAUAAUACAUUUAAUAGUAGCGAAUACAAAGAAACAAACCCAUGUAAUUAUUUUUCAGAUAUUAUACAAAAUAAUACAAAUAUUAUUGUACCUAAUAGGGCUCCUUUUUAUGAUUCACUUUCUGCAUGUUCUAACUUUUCAUUCGAAUCGAAAUAUAAUGAUAAUGCAUCAAACAAUGCUACAGUGAGUAUACAAAGACAUGCAAUAAGUGAAAAAAUUAAAAAAAAAAUUAUGCAAUACACUAUGAAUAAUAACAUUUAUCUAAGUAACCCAAACGUAAGUAUCAAACAAAAUGAGAUAAAAAAUAUAA